rnacentral:lncRNA from 1 species
GAAAAGCAUGAUGCAUUGACUAUUUUUGAGUAAGACACAAAAUGAUUGUGGGAGACUUGUUUGUUCCUGGUUCUGCAAGGAGCAAUUCUUGGAUUAUAACAGUACAGACUUAUCACAGUUUUGUGCUCUCACCUUCUCCUCAUGAAAUCCUGCCAACAUUCCUCGGGAAAAAUGUCAUGAGAACGUGAGGUCCUCUCAGGUCCCAUCCCUACAAGUCUUCUCCCUCCUUUCCUCUGUCAUCAAGACUCAGACACCAGGAUGUCAAAAGUUUUAGCAGUGAACGCUUCCUCUAGGUCUCCUGCAGCCUCGGUUUCAAAGAAGCGGGCGGAUUCCAUCCGUGUUCCACUGGAUGUGCCUCGCGUUCCAGAUUUCGAAGGAGUAGUGCUCCAUGUCCUUAGCUUUUUUUUUUUUUUUUUUUUUUUUUUUCAAUGUGUUUAGCUAUUUCUUGUACUGUCUGGCCUGAGAGAUUUCAAACUCUUUGAAUGCCAGAAAAGAAACUGAACUCCCCUUUUGGAAUACAGUAGGGUUAAUUUUAGUACCUUCAACUUUCACUCUAUGCGUUUCCCUGAGUAAAAAUUACCUAUGAAAUUUUCAGAUAACUUGAAGUAUUUUCCAAUUUGGGUUCCGCUUUUCUUCUAGCAUUGACAACCACCUGCCACUCACUGAAUUCCCACUUACUCAGAUGCUGCAGUAUAUUCUCACUUGACUGUUCCAGGACUUGGAAAGUGUUCAUCUACCAAACUCCCACUCACCUUCUAUUUCCAACUUCACCACGUAAUUUACUCUGAAUCUGAAGGAAGAAACUCUGACUUGCCCGAAUUGGUGAUUUCACUCUGCAUGCUUCUAUUUUGGAAAUUGUGGUGAUGUGGAAAAUCAGGGCUGAUCUCAAAGUCUUCUGAUGAAUACAGAACAUAAAAGCAUAGAAUAAAGAGGUUAAUGUGCAUUCCCAAAGGACUAGGAUGCUAAGCCUCCCUGAGGACUUCCUGGAUUCUACCAAGGUAGAGUAACUGUACUAAGCCAUUGAAUCUGAGGAAUUAUCUGCAAAACAAUUAGGAAUGCUACCAUGACAAGUAAGAGUCAUUUUUCAAAGAAGAUCCUUUUUCUGAUAUCUACAUGCAUUUUCCUUGUAUUUAAUAAGAAAGAAUUUCUUGGGCAGCAUCACAAAUGAAUCAACCAUGUUUUCUGUUUCUUAUUCUCAGC